UGGGCAUGUGAGUGUGUACAUUAACUUGUCUGGGGGGCAAGGGGCCCCGGGUUCAAAUCCCGGCAUCCCGA
rnacentral:tRNA from 1 species